rnacentral:rRNA from 1 species
CCUACGGGAGGCAGCAGUGGGGCAUAUUGCACAAUGGGGGAAACCCUGAUGCAGCGACGCCGCGUGAGUGAAGAAGUAUUUCGGUACGUAAAGCUCUAUCAGCAGGGAAGAAAAUGACGGUACCUGACUAAGAAGCCCCGGCUAACUACGUGCCAGCAGCCGCGGUAAUACGUAGGGGGCAAGCGUUAUCCGGAUUUACUGGGUGUAAAGGGAGCGUAGACGGCAGCGCAAGUCUGGAGUGAAAUCCCAUGGCUUAACCAUGGAACUGCUUUGGAAACUGUGCAGCUAGAGUGCAGGAGAGGUAAGCGGAAUUCCUAGUGUAGCGGUGAAAUGCGUAGAUAUUAGGAGGAACACCAGUGGCGAAGGCGGCUUACUGGACUGUAACUGACGUUGAGGCUCGAAAGCGUGGGGAGCAAACAGGAUUAGAUACCCCAGUAGUC